CCUACGGGAGGCUGCAGUGGGGAAUAUUGCGCAAUGGGCGAAAGCCUGACGCAGCGACGCCGCGUGAGGGAUGAAGGUCUUCGGAUCGUAAACCUCUGUCAGCAGGGAGGAACGGUCACUGUGCUAAUCAGCAGUGAAUUGACGGUACCUGCAAAGGAAGCACCGGCUAACUCCGUGCCAGCAGCCGCGGUAAUACGGAGGGUGCGAGCGUUAAUCGGAAUUACUGGGCGGAAGGCGCUCGUAGGCGGUAUGUCAAGUCAAGGGGGAAAUCCCCGCGCUAAACGUGGGAACUGCCUUUGAAACUGGCAAACUGGAGUGUGUGAGAGGAUAGUGGAAUGCCAGGUGUAGGAGUGAAAUCCGUAGAUAUCUGGAGGAACAUCAGUGGCGAAGGCGACUAUCUGGCACAUAACUGACGCUGAGGAGCGAAAGCGUGGGUAGCAAACAGGAUUAGAUACCCGGGUAGUC
rnacentral:rRNA from 1 species